UACGUAGGGGGCAAGCGUUGUCCGGAAUUAUUGGGCGUAAAGCGCGCGCAGGCGGCCAUUUAAGUUUGGUGUAUAAUCCCGGGGCUCAACCCCGGGCCGCAUCGAAAACUGGGUGGCUUGAGUGCGGGAGAGGAAAGUGGAAUUCCACGUGUAGCGGUGAAAUGCGUAGAUAUGUGGAGGAACACCAGUGGCGAAGGCGGCUCUCUGGCCUGUAACUGACGCUGAGGCG
rnacentral:rRNA from 1 species